rnacentral:misc_RNA from 1 species
GAUGAAGAACGUAGCGAAAUGCGAUAAGUAAUGUGAAUUGCAGAAUUCAGUGAAUCAUCGAAUCUUUGAACGCACAUUGCGCCCGCCAGCAUUCUGGCGGGCAUGCCUGUUCGAGCGUCAUUUCAACCCUCGCAGCCCAUCUGGGCAGCGGUGUUGGGGACCGGCACCACCGGCGAAGCCCUUAGGGACCCAGCCGGCGCCGCCCCCGAAAUACAGUGGCGGUCUCGCUGCAGCCUCCCUUGCGUAGUAGCACACCUCGCACCGGAGCGCAGCGCGGCCACGCCGUAAAACCCCCGACUUUCUGAGUUUGACCUCGAAUCAGGUAGGAAUACCCGCUGAACUUAAGCAUAUCAAUAAGCGGAGG